CGGUGGGACGGUCCUGCAAAGUCACGUGGCAUUGGGCGUGGCUACAGGGAAGGGUGAAGAAUUGGGGCCAAGGACGCCGUCGGCCACAGGUCGCCAGUCUUUCCAUCUGCAGGCCAGGAUCGCAGAUCCCUGUCCAGUCCACUGUGAGGCCAACGAUAAUGACAGCUCCUGGACACAGCACGUUUGCAUAGUGCUUGACGCAGCUUCACUCCUGUCAUCCUCACCGCUUUGUGCAAUUAACGGCACCAUCGGACCCAUGAAGAAAAUGAGGCACAGAGAGGUCUUUCAAAAACAGACUCCGAGAUAAGGAAGCGGCAAGCUUUGGAGAUGCUCAAGAGAAAAUGCAGCCAUUAAAAAAAUUGCCAUGCGAUAGUUAUGAAAUUUCCCUAAAUUCAUUUUGUGGAGUGAGAGACAUAAUUUAAACGUGAAGUUAUCGAGAGCUGAGAUGAACCACACGUCACGUGCCAUUUAAUCUGGCAAGGAAACAGGCCACUUGGAAUUGCUAACUAGGCCUAAUUCAUUACGUCUUGGUGAACGCUGUACUUUUGCUCUUUGAGUCUUUCAACUUGUGCGUUUAAUGUGUUUACCCAGGCCUCAUGGAAAAUGGAUGGGGAUAGUAACAGAAAUACUGUAUCCUUGUUUAAAUCACGUUACAUUUUUCAAACAGCUCGGUGAUUGUUCAGAAAGAUCAUACCUUCUUCCGAAGCAUUUAUGAAACAAUUAUUUACAUUACAUUAAAAACUUUAAUUGCCUUGAAGCACGUGCUCUGAGACACAAAUAUUGGAAAAUCAUCAAAAAUAUCUGUCACGAUUCUCUCUCCUUUACAACUCUUCUAAACUUUAUGUUUUUUAUAACCCUCUGUAUUGAUCUAUUGUCCCAGACCAAGAGUGAUGUCAGAAGUCCA